UACGGGAGGCAGCAGUAGGGAAUCUUCCGCAAUGGACGAAAGUCUGACGGAGCAACGCCGCGUGAACGAUGAAGGCUUUCGGGUCGUAAAGUUCUGUUGUUAGGGAAGACAAGUACCGGAGUAACUGCCGGUACCUUGACGGUACCUAACCAGAAAGCCACGGCUAACUACGUGCCAGCAGCCGCGGUAAUACGUAGGUGGCAAGCGUUGUCCGGAAUUAUUGGGCGUAAAGCGCGCGCAGGCGGUCCUUUAAGUCUGAUGUGAAAGCCCACGGCUCAACCGUGGAGGGUCAUUGGAAACUGGGGGACUUGAGUGCAGAAGAGGGGAGUGGAAUUCCACGUGUAGCGGUGAAAUGCGUAGAGAUGUGGAGGAACACCAGUGGCGAAGGCGACUCUCUGGUCUGUAACUGACGCUGAGGGCGCGAAAGCGUGGGGAGCGAACAGGGAUUAGGAUACC
rnacentral:rRNA from 1 species